rnacentral:rRNA from 1 species
ACAUACGACCACAGGGUGUGGAAAACAGGGCUUCCCGUCCGCUCAGCCGUACUUAAGCCACACGCCGGGAGGUUAGUAGUUGGGUGGGUG